UGGGGAAUAUUGCACAAUGGGGGAAACCCUGAUGCAGCGACGCCGCGUGAAGGAUGAAGUAUUUCGGUAUGUAAACUUCUAUCAGCAGGGAAGAAAAUGACGGUACCUGACUAAGAAGCCCCGGCUAACUACGUGCCAGCAGCCGCGGUAAUACGUAGGGGGCAAGCGUUAUCCGGAUUUACUGGGUGUAAAGGGAGCGUAGACGGUAUGGCAAGUCUGAUGUGAAAACCCGGGGCUCAACCCCGGGACUGCAUUGGAAACUGUCGGACUAGAGUGUCGGAGAGGCAAGUGGAAUUCCUAGUG
rnacentral:rRNA from 1 species